ensembl:lncRNA
UUUUAACAAUAACUCUUUCUUAAAAGUUCUUACAAUAAUAGACCCGGAAGUACUUUUGCAGCAACAAAGCCUCCUUAUGCUAGAUCGACAAUAUAGUUAUUUAAUGUUUAGAAGUAGGCUAAGUUCACAAUAAUAAUAAUAAUAAUUAUUAUUAUUAUUAAGACAAUAACCGUAUACGUUUUGUUUUUAAAGCGGCUUGUUUUAUUUAUACAAUCAAAAAACAACAAUAAUCGUUGAAUAAUGAAUAGGCUUUUAGGGGUUUUCAACUAAAAUGUAUUAUGGAAAACGAUCCCGAUCGAGAAUGCUGGACACAAUAAGAAGUCAGCUGAGCGAUGAGGCUCGCCUAGGGUAGGAGUCGUGAAUCUCGCGACACUACAGCUCCGAUUAUAUUGCAGUACAAUGGUACCAUAUCUCCUCGGCUGGCAAAUAAUUAAACUUGUACUAGAAUUCAUCUUGAUUUGAAGGCUUAGUGGCUUCAAAUCGUGGUAAUGGAGAAAUGGAGAUGUCACGUGCGCACAAAACUCAUACAGCGAGACAGCUCACAGAAGGAUCCAUAUGCUGGCAUCUUCAGAAGUUUGUUUCAGCUGCAAGAUAAUUUUGAAAUUCGUCGAGAAAUUUGGGAAGAUCUGCAGAGCCAAAGGUUUGAAGAAAAAAAUAUCAGGAUCUUUCUAUUUAAAAUGUUCUGUUAGUUUUUUAAUUUCCAAACUUUUUUCAAACGGUAUUAAUUCCAGUUUAGAACAAGAUGGAAUAACAUUUGUGGAACUUCACCUCUGGUUAAGAGAGAGUGAACACCUGUCUAAAAAGUUGUCUCAGACCGUCUCUGACCUGACCAGUGUUUUGUAUUUCAAAGAGGCUGAGCUACAGUACUGGCAGUCUCAGGUAGCCCGUUUCCGUCGGGAGGCUCUGAGCCUGGCUGGAGGCAGCAACUCGCUGAAGGCCACCCUGAACCACCAGGAGUUCACCCUUGAGAGGCAGGCCAAGGAGCUGGCCGCCCUGCAGAAGGAGCACAUGCGCCUGCGGGAGGGGAUGGUGGAGGCCUGGAAGGAGAAAGGGGACCUCCUCCAGAGAUGGAUGGAGGAGAAGAAAGAGGAGGCGGCAAGGGUUAAUAAGUACAAUGACGCACAGGAAAGGUGGCGUCGGUUGGCCAGACGGCUGAAGAAACAACUUCGGGGAGAAACGGUCAAACCUUCGGAGCAGACGGAGAUUGACGUGACGAGUGGCGAAAAAGAAGCAGCAUUCAAACUAGAAUGAGUGACAGCAUUUAUUUUGUAACUUUUUUUCAUCUGUAACUAAUAUCGCUUAAAUAACUUGUUUUACAUUCGCAGUUUAAUGUGAGCACCAUUCCUAGAAGCACAAUCCGAACUCCACUUAAACAGCAACUAAAUAUGCACCUGAUGCAACUCUCUAUUGACUACAUUUAAUGUUGUUUAGAUGGACCGUUUUUAUUGAAUCAACAUGGGCAGGCAUCACUUGUGCAUCAAGCUUACAAACCGAACUAAUAAUUCAAGAUUAUAUGCACCUCCUGAUGACGUUGUAACAUGUUUGUGUUUGUGUAACCUUAUCGGAUUGGUUUUUAGUCCGAUAAGAUCUUAAAGUGAUUCAUGUUUUUUUUACUUUUUAGUGUGACUGACAAGCCUACAUUAUUAUAUUUUAAAAAGACUCGUGGUAGAUAUGCUAUAUAAAUAUAUUGUGUUAUCAACUUUUUUUUAAAAUAAAGCAAUGUGUAACGUGCG